GAUGAACGCUGGCGGCGUGCCUAAUACAUGCAAGUCGAGCGAACAGACGAGGAGCUUGCUCCUUUGACGUUAGCGGCGGACGGGUGAGUAACACGUGGGUAACCUACCUAUAAGACUGGGAUAACUUCGGGAAACCGGAGCUAAUACCGGAUAAUAUUUCGAACCGCAUGGUUCGAUAGUGAAAGAUGGCUUUGCUAUCACUUAUAGAUGGACCUGCGCCGUAUUAGCUAGUUGGUAAGGUAACGGCUUACCAAGGCAACGAUACGUAGCCGACCUGAGAGGGUGAUCGGCCACACUGGAACUGAGACACGGUCCAGACGCCUACGGGAGGCAGCAGUAGGGAAUCUUCCGCAAUGGGCGAAAGCCUGACGGAGCAACGCCGCGUGAGUGAUGAAGGUCUUCGGAUCGUAAAACUCUGUUAUUAGGGAAGAACAAACGUGUAAGUAACUGUGCACGUCUUGACGGUACCUAAUCAGAAAGCCACGGCUAACUACGUG
rnacentral:rRNA from 1 species